rnacentral:rRNA from 1 species
AGUGAACGCUGGCGGUAGGCCUAACACAUGCAAGUCGAACGGCAGCACAGUAAGAGCUUGCUCUUACGGGUGGCGAGUGGCGGACGGGUGAGGAAUACAUCGGAAUCUACUUUUUCGUGGGGGAUAACGUAGGGAAACUUACGCUAAUACCGCAUACGACCUACGGGUGAAAGCAGGGGAUCUUCGGACCUUGCGCGAUUGAAUGAGCCGAUGUCGGAUUAGCUAGUUGGCGGGGUAAAGGCCCACCAAGGCGACGAUCCGUAGCUGGUCUGAGAGGAUGAUCAGCCACACUGGAAGUGAGACACGGCCCAGACUCUUGCGGGAGGCAGCAGUGGGGAAUCUUGGACGAUGGGGGCAUGGCUGAUCCAGCAAUACCGCGUGGGGGAAGAAGGACUUCGGGUUGUAAAGCCAUUUUGUUGGGAAAGAAGAGCAGCAGGUUAAUACCCCGCUGUUCUGACGGUACCCAAAGAAUAAGCACCGGCUAACUUCGUG